AAUCUACUCCCUCCGUUCCAUAAUUCUUGUCGAAAUAUUACAUGUAUCUAGACAUUUUUUAGGAAUAGAUACAUCCACAUUUGGGCAAAUUUGAGACAAGAUUUAUGGAACGGAGGUAGUAUUCU
rfam:Brachypodium distachyon strain Bd21 chromosome 2, whole genome shotgun sequence.